ensembl:lncRNA
GAUGGCCAUCAACAGGCCAAAGAGGAAGCUUCAGAAGAUCUCAGGCCUCCAGCCUCCAGAACUGUGGGAAAAUACAUUUCUGUUGCUUAGCCUGGGCAGUCUAUGGUGCUCUGUUAUGGCACCCUGAGGAAACUCAUACAUGCACUGGUUCUAGAAGGUAGUCAGACAGUUUCAGGGACAGUGUUGUGUUUUGGGACAUGGUGGAGAAGUAGAAGUCCCUGGGGAGUUACAUGGAGUGAGAUUAUGAAUGGCCUCAUACACCAGACCGAGAAGCUCAGCAUGGGAGAGACAUGGUCAGAAGUGCUCCAUGGAACCACUGCCAAGGCUACAGCAUGCUCAGCGCAGCCCAGCCAACAUGUGCAGUUCCCUGCACAGUGACAGCAAACAGAGGAGGCACUGGGGAUAAAGGAUGGAGAAGAUCCAGGCCAUUCCUUUGAGAGGAACAA